UACGUAGGGUGCGAGCGUUAAUCGGAAUUACUGGGCGUAAAGCGUGCGCAGGCGGUUUGUUAAGUCCGCUGUGAAAUCCCCGGGCUCAACCUGGGAAUGGCGGUGGAAACUGGCGAGCUAGAGUGUGUCAGAGGGGGGGUGGAAUUCCACGUGUAGCAGUGAAAUGCGUAGAGAUGUGGAGGAACACCAAUGGCGAAGGCAGCCCCCCUGGGAUAACACUGACGCUCAGGCACGAAAGCGUGGGGAGCAAA
rnacentral:rRNA from 1 species